rnacentral:tRNA from 1 species
GGGGAUUUAGCUCAGCGGUAGAGCACUUGCCUAGCAAGCGCAAGGCCCUGGGUUCGGUCCCCAGCCCCG